rnacentral:rRNA from 1 species
AUUGAACGCUGGCGGCAGGCCUAACACAUGCAAGUCGAGCGAGCGGCGGACGGGUGAGUAAUGUAUGGGGACUGCCCGAUAGAGGGGGAUAACUACUGGAAACGGUGGCUAAUACCGCAUACUAUCGGAUAACCCAUAUGGGAUUAGCUAGUAGGUGGGGUAAAGGCUCACUGAGGCGCCGAUCCCUAGCUGGUCUGAGCGGAGGAUAAGCACAUCUGGGACGGAGACAAGGCCCAGACCCUUACGGAGGCAGAGGUGGGGAAUAUUGCACAAUGGGCGAAAGCCUGAUGCAGCCAUGCCGUGUGUAUGAAGAAGGCCUUAGGGUUGUAAAGUAUUUUCAGCGGGGAGGCGUGAACCGAAGAAGAAGCACCGGUUAACUCCGUGCCAGCAGCCGCGUUAAUG